ACGGGGUGCAGCAGGCGCGAAACCUCCGCAAUACACGAAAGUGUGACGGGGUUACCCAAAGUGUUCUAUUAAGAACUGUGGCAGGUGAGUAAUGUCCCCUGCUAGAAAGGAGAGGGCAAGGCUGGUGCCAGCCGCCGCGGUAAAACCAGCUCUUCAAGUGGUCGGGAUAAUUAUUGGGCUUAAAGUGUCCGUAGCCGGUUUGGUAAGUUCCUGGUAAAAUCGGGUAGCUUAACUAUCCGCACGCUAGGAAUACUGCUAUACUAGAGGGCGGGAGAGGUCUGAGGUACUACUGGGGUAGGGGUGAAAUCUUAUAAUCCUUGUAGGACCACCAGUGGCGAAGGCGUCAGACUGGAACGCGCCUGACGGUGAGGGACGAAAGCCAGGGGAGCGAACCGGAUUAGAUACCCGGGUAGUCCUGGCCGUAAACGAUGCAUACUAGGUGAUGGCACGGCCAUGAGCCGUGUCAGUGCCGUAGGGAAACCGUUAAGUGUGCCGCCUGGGAAGUACGGUCGCAAGGCUAAAACUUAAAGGAAUUGGCGGGGGAGCACCACAAGGGGUGAAGCCUGCGGUUCAAUUGGACUCAACGCCGGGAAACUUACCAGGGGAGACAGUAGUAUGACGGUCAGGUUGACGACCUUACCUAACGAGCUGAGAGGAGGUGCAUGGCCGUCGCCAGUUCGUGCUGUGAGGUAUCCUGUUAAGUCAGGCAACGAACGAGAUCCGCGCCUUUAUUUGCCAUCAAGAAGUCACGACUUCGUUGG
rnacentral:rRNA from 1 species